ACUGAUUCUGGCAGCCCUCAGGGGUCUACGAAUAGGUCUUGACAGGAAUAGACGUUGACUCUGGAGUGGGCUUUGCUUAUGCAGUGGAAGAUGAAAAUACUCAGAAUGCCAUAAAAAAGCCAGAACAAAAGACAGUGUAUGAAU